GUUGGGGGGUUAGGAUGAAAACAGGAUUAGACUCCACAGGCCUGGUUCCCACAGAUUGCCUGAAAUGGGGAACAGAUUUAAAGCAGAGUGCAACUCUUGCAUCACAGCCGGCAUAUAAAGGUCUGACUGUCUCUGCCUUUAAAGUGUUUGGGUCUGACUCCGGUUGUAUCUAAAUGAUAACACCUCUCCAUGGUCAUUGGAGGCCUCCCAGAUCCAUCUCCUCAACCUCGGUGUUAUCUGUGAUCAUACGCCCCCACGCUAUCGAGCUCAGUCAAAGACCAUCCCAUGGUUUGCAGUGUUAAUUACAGAUCCUUUGAUGUGAUAGAACACAGCCCUGUAGAGAUUGAUUACUCUUUGAGCUAAGUUGUCUUCCAAUUACUUAGACAAUUAGCCAACUAAUUAAAAUACUUACCCUGUGCAUUGAAAAAGGAAGAGGAGUGCUGCUGUGAGGAUCUCCCUUGAUAUAUGAGCUGCCAGGGAUUCUCAGAGUGUCUCAGCUGAGGAGAAGAAGGCCUGGUGUGCUGACUGCAGCUCAAAAAAAAGGCCCAAAAUGAGUCACUGCAGCCGACUGUGAUAAUAAUUUGGAUCAAGCAUUUGGACACGUUUAUCACUUCCUGUUGAUUGAGGAUAAGGAUGUUAGAUCAGGGGAUGAACUCAUGUUUGAAAAUCCUUCAUUUAUUGAGGUGUUUUUAUUGUCUGACAAAUACCAACUUCUGAAUGCUCAAACAUUAAACAUUUCUAAAUUGAUGAUUUUUGUUCUGUUGAUCAUUUCACUUUUUAUCUAUGCAGACUCGAGAAGGAAAAUGUAAAGAACCAACGUUCAGCCUGGAGUUUUCUACUGACAAAUAAUUAGACAGUUAACUUGAAGUCACUGGAGCAUGCCUGAAUAUUAAUAUCCAAAUCAUUUGUAGUUAGUCUGAAAAUAGUCAGUUUGGUACUCUUUAUUUUAAUGGUCUGUGGAGGAAUUUG